GUUAUUUUGGCAGAGUAGUGCGUUAGAUUUAGAAUCUAUUUUAAGUAAAUUAUAGUUUACAUAUAAUAC
rnacentral:tRNA from 1 species